UAUGGUCACAUCAUGUUGAAACACUGGUUCCAGUAUGAUCACCAAAGUUAAGCAACAUCGAGCCUGGUCAGUUUUCUGGAUGAGUGACCACUUGGGAAUACCAGGUACUGUAAG